UUCGCAAUGCCCGAAAGGGUGACGAAGCGACGCCGCGUGGGUGAGGAAGGCCCUCGGGUUGUAAAGCCCUGUCAGGAGUUAAGAAAUGUAAGUGCGCUAAUAUCGCAUUUAUUUGACGAAGGCUCCAAAGGAAGCCACGGCUAACUCUGUGCCAGCAGCCGCGGUAAUACAGAGGUGGCAAGCGUUGUUCGGAAUUAUUGGGCGUAAAGAGCACGUAGGUGGGUUUGUAAGUCAGAUGUGAAAGCCUUCUGUUCAACGGAAGAAUUGCAUCUGAAACUACAAGUCUUGAGUGUAGGAGGGGAGAAUGGAACUUCUGGUGGAGCGGUGAAAUGCGUAGAUAUCAGAAUGAACGCCGGCGGCGAAAGCGAUUCUCUGGCCUAUUACUGACACUCAGUGUGCGAAAGCUAGGGGAGCAAACGGGAUUAGAUACCCCGGUAGUCCUAGCCGUAAACGAUGGGCACUAAGUAGAGGGGUUUU
rnacentral:rRNA from 1 species